rnacentral:rRNA from 1 species
UACGUAGGGGGCAAGCGUUGUCCGGAAUCAUUGGGCGUAAAGCGCGUGUAGGCGGCCAUGUAGGUCUGACGUGAAAUUCCGAGGCUCAACCUCGGCAGGUCGUUGGAAACCAUAUGGCUAGAGUCCGGAAGAGGAGAGUGGAAUUCCUGGUGUAGCGGUGAAAUGCGCAGAUAUCAGGAAGAACACCAAUGGCGAAGGCAGCUCUCUGGGACGGUACUGACGCUGAGACGCGAAAGCGUGGGGAGCGAACAGG